GGAAACGAUAGAGAAAGCUUGCUUUUUCUAGGCGUCGACCGGCGCACGGGUGAGUAACGCGUAUCCAACCUGCCCACCACUUGGGGAUAACCUUGCGAAAGUAAGACUAAUACCCAAUGACGUCUCUAGAAGACAUCUGAAAGGGAUUAAAGAUUUAUCGGUGAUGGAUGGGGAUGCGUCUGAUUAGCUUGUUGGCGGGGUAACGGCCCACCAAGGCGACGAUCAGUAGGGGUUCUGAGAGGAAGGUCCCCCACAUUGGAACUGAGACACGGUCCAAACUCCUACGGGAGGCAGCAGUGAGGAAUAUUGGUCAAUGGACGGGAGUCUGAACCAGCCAAGUAGCGUGCAGGAUGACGGCCCUAUGGGUUGUAAACUGCUUUUAUAGGGGGAUAAAGUGUGCCACGUGUGGCAUAUUGCAGGUACCCUAUGAGUAAGGACCGGCUAAUUCCGUGCCAGCAGCCGCGGUAAUACGGAAGGUCCGGGCGUUAUCCGGAUUUAUUGGGUUUAAAGGGAGCGUAGGCCGUUUUUUAAGCGUGUUGUGAAAUACUGUCGCUCAACGACAGAGGUGCAGCGCGAACUGGGAGACUUGAGUGCGCGGAAUGCAGGCGGAAUUUGUCGUGUAGCGGUGAAAUGCUUAGAUAUGACGAAGAACUCCGAUUGCGAAGGCAGCUUGCAGUAGCGUAACUGACGCUGAAGCUCGAAAGUGCGGGUAUCGAACAGG
rnacentral:rRNA from 1 species